GAAUGUAUCUUGAGAGGACUGGAUGAACAUUGCCUAAUAGCACUAGACUCCUGCUGUAUGGGGGGCUAUUUCUCCUUCAUUCAUUGCCAGGGUUAAUGGCUAUGAUAAUUGAAGCCAGUUGUUUGGCUUCUGCUACAAAUGGAUCAGCAGGGAAGAAGGUACCAGUACUUUACUGCUGGAUGGGAGUGGAAGUGCAGGCCCCUGAGAUGGGUCUCCACUGACACCACGCCGGUGGGGAGUAGGAAAGAUUAUACCCGCAAACGGAUUAGAGAAUGUGGUCUUCUCUGCAGCGAGUCGAGGAGUCAGAAGGCACAUAUCACUUACCCACAGUUACCCAUGGUAGAUGGGUCCUCCCGCGGUAUGGUCAGAAAGUCAAUGGCAGCCCAAUGCCAUGUCACAGUGCCUAUGUCAUUCACCUCACUGCACCUCAUCACGUGGGCAUCUUAUCCUCGCACAUCAUCACAAGAAUGGUGUGUUCAGCACAGUAAGAUAUUUUCAGAGAGAGAGAGAGAGAGAGUCCGGUGUCUGGGAAGUACAAAUCAAAACCUCAAUGACAUAGCACCUACACCAG